AUCCACAGGUUGAGAACCACUGCCUUGAAGUCACUAAAUCCUAUUUUAUCUUAGAAGGAAGCAGGCUUAGCCCUGGUUAGUACUUGAAUAGGGGACUAUCAAUGAAUUACAGGUUCUGUAGGUA
rnacentral:rRNA from 11 species